rnacentral:rRNA from 1 species
CGGACGGGUGAGUAAUGUCUGGGAAACUGCCUGAUGGAGGGGGGUAACUACUGGAAACGGUAGCUAAUACCGCAUAACGUCGCAAGACCAAAGAGGGGGACCUUAGGGCCUCUUGCCAUCGGAUGUGCCCAGAUGGGAUUAGCUAGUAGGUGGGGUAACGGCUCACCUAGGCGACGAUCCCUAGCUGGUCUGAGAGGAUGACCAGCCGCACUGGAACUGAGACACGGUCCAG